GAUUAAGUUAUUAAGGGCGCACGGUGGAUGCCUUGGCACUAGAAGCCGAUGAAGGACGUUACUAACGACGAUAUGCUUUGGGGAGCUGUAAGUAAGCUUUGAUCCAGAGAUUUCCGAAUGGGGAAACCCAGCAUGAGUUAUGUCAUGUUAUCGAUAUGUGAAUACAUAGCAUAUCAGAAGGCACACCCGGAGAACUGAAACAUCUUAGUACCCGGAGGAAGAGAAAGAAAAUUCGAUUCCCUUAGUAGCGGCGAGCGAAACGGGAAGAGCCCAAACCAACAAGCUUGCUUGUUGGGGUUGUAGGACACUCUAUACGGAGUUACAAAGGACGACAUUAGACGAAUCAUCUGGAAAGAUGAAUCAAAGAAGGUAAUAAUCCUGUAGUCGAAAAUGUUGUCUCUCUUGAGUGGAUCCUGAGUACGACGGAGCACGUGAAAUUCCGUCGGAAUCUGGGAGGACCAUCUCCUAAGGCUAAAUACUCUCUAGUGACCGAUAGUGAACCAGUACCGUGAGGGAAAGGUGAAAAGCACCCCGGAAGGGGAGUGAAAUAGAACCUGAAACCGUGUGCUUACAAGUAGUCAGAGCCCGUUAAUGGGUGAUGGCGUGCCUUUUGUAGAAUGAACCGGCGAGUUACGAUUUGAUGCAAGGUUAAGCAGUAAAUGUGGAGCCGUAGCGAAAGCGAGUCUGAAUAGGGCGUUUAGUAUUUGGUCGUAGACCCGAAACCAGGUGAUCUACCCUUGGUCAGGUUGAAGUUCAGGUAACACUGAAUGGAGGACCGAACCGACUUACGUUGAAAAGUGAGCGGAUGAACUGAGGGUAGCGGAGAAAUUCCAAUCGAACCUGGAGAUAGCUGGUUCUCUCCGAAAUAGCUUUAGGGCUAGCCUCAAGUGAUGAUUAUUGGAGGUAGAGCACUGUUUGGACGAGGGGCCCCUCUCGGGUUACCGAAUUCAGACAAACUCCGAAUGCCAAUUAAUUUAACUUGGGAGUCAGAACAUGGGUGAUAAGGUCCGUGUUCGAAAGGGAAACAGCCCAGACCACCAGCUAAGGUCCCAAAAUAUAUGUUAAGUGGAAAAGGAUGUGGCGUUGCCCAGACAACUAGGAUGUUGGCUUAGAAGCAGCCAUCAUUUAAAGAGUGCGUAAUAGCUCACUAGUCGAGUGACACUGCGCCGAAAAUGUACCGGGGCUAAACAUAUUACCGAAGCUGUGGAUUGUCCUUUGGACAAUGGUAGGAGAGCGUUCUAAGGGCGUUGAAGCAUGAUCGUAAGGACAUGUGGAGCGCUUAGAAGUGAGAAUGCCGGUGUGAGUAGCGAAAGACGGGUGAGAAUCCCGUCCACCGAUUGACUAAGGUUUCCAGAGGAAGGCUCGUCCGCUCUGGGUUAGUCGGGUCCUAAGCUGAGGCCGACAGGCGUAGGCGAUGGAUAACAGGUUGAUAUUCCUGUACCACCUAUAAUCGUUUUAAUCGAUGGGGGGACGCAGUAGGAUAGGCGAAGCGUGCGAUUGGAUUGCACGUCUAAGCAGUAAGGCUGAGUAUUAGGCAAAUCCGGUACUCGUUAAGGCUGAGCUGUGAUGGGGAGAAGACAUUGAGUCUUCGAGUCGUUGAUUUCACACUGCCGAGAAAAGCCUCUAGAUAGAAAAUAGGUGCCCGUACCGCAAACCGACACAGGUAGUCAAGAUGAGAAUUCUAAGGUGAGCGAGCGAACUCUCGUUAAGG
rnacentral:rRNA from 1 species